rnacentral:lncRNA from 1 species
UAAAGUAACAGCCUACUCUCACAUUGUUAAAAAGAAAAUCACCUGAUUCUGUUUUCUUUUCUUUCUAGCAUUUUUCAUCAUACAGCAUUGCCUCAUGGAUUUGUUUGCUGAGUUCCUCAUUGUUUCUUCCUCUCCAUUAAAAUGUUACCUCUGUGAAAUCAGAGACUGCAUCUGUGUUCUGUAUUGUGCGCUGUUACAUCCCUAGUGCCUAGGGCAGUGGCUGUCUCCUAUCAGACUGAAUACAUACGUGCAGUGUGGUGAAUAUGCAGCCCACAUUGAAGGGACAAAGUAAGAUCCUUGCUUUUGUCAUUUGCGCUCUCUCCUCUCCAUUAUGUGGUUUGUCAAGAAUAUCAGAUUAGUAGAGAUAGAAUUAGAAAUCUGUGAUCUCUAUAUCUGAAGAACACAGCAAGGACUUCCAUGUUACAGGAUACAGCCAACCCAGAUGGCCACCUGGUGUGGGAAUGAUACUUGAUUUCAAUUCAAAGUGGCUCGUGCUUCUGGAGCUGUGAGAGAAGAGGAGCUUUGGCCUGUGACAUGAGUAGAUGAGCCUUCACUACAGAGCAGUCCUGGAAGCGAUCACACCAUGGAAAGAUAUGAACACUCAGACCUGCCACUUGUCAGGUGAAAGUGCAGACUUUUCCCCUCAACCACAAUAUCCAGUUGAAGAUUCUAUGCUGGGAAUGAACCAUGGGACUUUGUUAUGAACCUGUGUGAAGUCCCAAAACUACUUCCCACAGGGGAUUUUCCUGGCCCUUUAUCCUCAGCUGGUGCUGAGGAACAUCUACCCACCGAGAAAUUUCCUUGUGACUCCUGCCAAGAACUGAAUUUCACCCCUCCUGCCAAGGGGGUUACAAACUCCAUAAAAAACAAUAACAAGGAGAACAACAACAAAAUGAAAUUUCUUUGAAUAUUUUGGACCAGAUCGAUCACAUUCUUUUUUGAACUCUUAUUAUAUUCACAAAAUGAUAGAGGUAAGCACUUAAUUAUUCUGUCUCACAAGUGUUAAUGUAAUCAAUCUAUUUUGUGGUACCCUUUCAGUCCUCACUCUCAUGUUUAAGAACUGUCCCUGUCUUUCCUACAUAUUUCCAGAUGAAAGAAUGGCUUCUGAGACCACAUUUGUACCUUAC